UAGGAUUCCCUUAGUAGCUGCGAGCGAACAGGGAAAAGCCCAGCACCGAAUCCCGCGGCCGACACCGGGCGCCGGGAAAUGUGGUGUUAGGGAGGGUCCGUUUAUCCCGAGGUCGUGCGGCGCGUCCAAGUCCUUCUUGAACGGGGCCACAGCCCAUAGAGGGUGCCAGGCCCGUAGCGACCGCUGCCGAUCGCGGGAGGAUCUCUCCUCAGAGUCGGGUUGCUUGAGAGUGCAGCCCUAAGUGGGUGGUAAACUCCAUCUAAGGCUAAAUAUGACCACGAGACCGAUAGCGAACAAGUACCGUGAGGGAAAGUUGAAAAGCACUUUGAAGAGAGAGUUCAAGAGUACGUGAAACCGUUCAGGGGUAAACCUGAGAAACCCGAAAGGUCGAAAGGGGAAAUUCAUUCGCGUUUCGGCCGUCGGCGUCGGAUGGUCGAGUGACGGACGGCUCUCGGGUCGUCUGCGCCUUCCGUUCUUCGAACCGGCGUCGAACGCGUGCACUUUUCCCCUAGUAGGACGUCGCGAUCCGUUGGGUGUCGGUCUAAGGCCCGCGGUGGAGCCCGUGCGAUCGGCUUGCCGUUUCGUGCGGACCCGUGGUGUCCCGGCCGACUCGCUCGACGGUAUACAGAUGGCGCGGGGCCGCUAUUUAGUUAGCGUCCGGCCCGUGGCAAGCGCGCUGGGUGUGCUGGCGAUCGGACCUAGUGCCGGUUCUGGCCCCCAGUGACUGUUGGCUACGGUGUUCUCGGACAGACCUCGUCGAAACGCCGAUCUGCGACGCUAUAGCUUUGGGUACUUUCAGGACCCGUCUUGAAACACGGACCAAGGAGUCUAGCAUGUGCGCGAGUCAUUGGGACAUAACUAAACCUAAAGGCGUAAUGAAAGUGAAGGUUUGCCUUGCGCAGACCGAGGGAGGAUAGGUGGUUCGCCCUUAAAAGUGGCCAUCUCGCACUCCCGGGGCGUCUCGUUCUCAUCGCGAGAAGAGGCGCACCAAGAGCGUACACGCUGGGACCCGAAAGAUGAUGAACUAUGCCUGGUCAGGACGAAGUCAGGGGAAACCCUGAUGGAGGUCCGUAGCGAUUCUGACGUGCAAAUCGAUCGUCGGAACUGGGUAUAGGGGCGAAAGACUAAUCGAAUCAUCUAGUAGCUGGUUCCCUCCGAAGUUUCCCUCAGGAUAGCUGGCGCUCGUAGCGCACGAGUCUCAUCCGGUAAAGCGAAUGAUUAGAGGCAUUGGGGUCGAAACGACCUCAACCUAUUCUCAAACUUUAAAUGGGUGAGAUCUCCGGCUUGCUCGAACUUAUGAAGCCGCGAGACACGGAUCAGAGUGCCAAGUGGGCCAUUUUUG
rnacentral:rRNA from 1 species